GACGGAGGAUGCAAGCGUCAUCCGGAAUGAUUGGGCGUAAAGCGUCCGCAGGUGGCAGUUCAAGUCUGCUGUCAAAGACCGGGGCUUAACUUCGGAAAGGCAGUGGAAACUGAACAGCUAGAGUAUGGUAGGGGCAGAGGGAAUUCCUGGUGUAGCGGUGAAAUGCGUAGAUAUCAGGAAGAACAUCGGUGGCGAAGGCGCUCUGCUGGACCAUAACUGACACUGAGGGACGAAAGCUAGGGGAGAGAAUGGG
rnacentral:rRNA from 1 species